GCAUAUCAAUAAGCGGAGGAAAAGAAACCAACCGGGAUUGCCUCAGUAACGGCGAGUGAAGCGGCAAGAGCUCAAAUUUGAAAUCUGGCCCCUUUGGGGUCCGAGUUGUAAUUUGCAGAGGAUGCUUCGGGUGCGGUCCCCGUCUAAGUGCCCUGGAACGGGCCGUCAUAGAGGGUGAGAAUCCCGUCUGGGAUGGGCGGCCGCGCCCGUGUGAAGCUCCUUCGACGAGUCGAGUUGUUUGGGAAUGCAGCUCUAAGCGGGUGGUAAAUUUCAUCUAAAGCUAAAUACUGGCCGGAGACCGAUAGCGCACAAGUAGAGUGAUCGAAAGAUGAAAAGCACUUUGAAAAGAGAGUUAAACAGCACGUGAAAUUGUUGAAAGGGAAGCGUUGUCCACCAGACUCGCCCGGGGGGGUUCAGCCGGCACGUGUGCCGGUGUACUCCUCUCCGGGCGGGCCAGCAUCGGUUUGGGCGGCUGGUGAAAGGCCCCGGGAAUGUGCCACCCUUCGGGGUGCCUUAUAGCCCGGGGUGCCAUGCAGCCAGCCUGGACCGAGGCCCGCGCUUCGGCGAGGAUGCUGGCGUAAUGGUGGUCAACGGCCCGUCUUGAAACACGGACCAAGGAGUCUAACAUCUAUGCGAGUGUUCGGGUGUCAAACCCGUCCGCGCAGUGAAAGCGAACGGAGGUGGGAGCCCCUCGGGGCGCACCAUCGACCGAUCCUGAUGUCUUCGGAUGGAUUUGAGUAAGAGCAUAGCUGUUGGGACCCGAAAGAUGGUGAACUAUGCCUGAAUAGGGCGAAGCCAGAGGAAACUCUGGUGGAGGCUCGCAGCGGUUCUGACGUGCAAAUCGAUCGUCAAAUUUGGGUAUAGGGGCGAAAGACUAAUCGAACCAUCUGGUAGCUGGUUCCUGCCGA
rnacentral:rRNA from 1 species